UACGUAGGUGGCAAGCGUUGUUCGGAAUUAUUGGGCGUAAAGGGCGCGUAGGCGGCUUUGUAAGUCAGAGGUGAAAGCCUGGAGCUCAACUCCAGAACUGCCUUUGAAACUACAUCGCUAGAAUCAUGGAGAGGUUAGUGGAAUUCCGAGUGUAGAGGUGAAAUUCGUAGAUAUUCGGAAGAACACCAGUGGCGAAGGCGACUAACUGGACAUGUAUUGACGCUGAGGUGCGAAAGCGUGGGGAGCAAACAGG
rnacentral:rRNA from 1 species